rnacentral:rRNA from 13 species
UGAAACAUCUAACUACCCGGAGGAAAGGACAGCAAUAGCGACUCCCCUAGUAGUGGCGAGCGAACGGGGACUAGCCGAGCCGAGAUCGUGACCAGAAUGUGCUGGAAAGCACAGCCAUAGCGGGUGACAGCCCCGUAUGGGAAGCGUGAUCGGACGUAUCAAGUAGGGCGGGACACGUGAAAUCCUGUCUGAAGAUCGGAGGACCACCUUCGAAGGCUAAGUACUCCUUACUGACCGAUAGUGAACCAGUACCGUGAGGGAAAGGCGAAAAGAACCCCUGUGAGGGGAGUGAAAUAGAUCCUGAAACCGUAUGCGUACAAGCAGUAGGAGCAGACUUGUUCUGUGACUGCGUACCUUUUGUAUAAUGGGUCAGCGACUUAAUGUCAGUAGCGAGCUUAACCGUUUAGGGGAGGCGUAGGGAAACCGAGUCUUAAUAGGGCGAAUUAGUUGCUGGCAUUAGACCCGAAACCCGGUGAUCUAUCCAUGGCCAGGUUGAAGAUGCCGUAACAGGCAUUGGAGGACCGAACCCACAAAUUUUGAAAAAUUUGGGGAUGAGCUGUGGAUCGGAGUGAAAGGCUAAUCAAACCGGGAGAUAGCUGGUUCUCCUCGAAAUCUAUUUAGGUAGAGCGUCAUGUCUUACCCGCGGGGGUAGAGCACUGUUUGGGCUAGGGGGUCAUCCCGACUUACCAACCCCAUGCAAACUCCGAAUACCGCGGA